rnacentral:rRNA from 1 species
UGCGCGGUAGAGGAGCGUUCCGUAAGCCGUCGAAGGCAGAUUGAGAAGUCUGCUGGAGGUAUCGGAAGUGCGAAUGCUGACAUGAGUAGCGUUAAAGCGGGUGAAAAGCCCGCUCGCCGUAAGCGCAAGGUUUUCUACGCAACGUUCAUCGGCGUAGAGUGAGUCGGCCCCUAAGGCGAGGCAGAGAUGCGUAGCUGAUGGGAAACAGGUCAAUAUUCCUGUACCGAUGUAUAGUGCGAUGUGGGGACGGAUCUUAAUAGGUCAUCCGGGUGUUGGACAUCCCGGUUUAAUUGGAUGUAGGCGUACGUUAGGCAAAUCCGGCGUACAUAUACCGAGGCCAAUGAUCGAGCCAGCUUGCUGGUGAAGUGACUGAACGAGGUUCCAGGAAAAGCCACUAAGCUUCAGCUUGCAACGACCGUACCGCAAACCGACACUGGUGCGCGAGAUGAGUAUUCUAAGGCGCUUGAGAGAACUCAGGAGAAGGAACUCGGCAAAUUGACACCGUAACUUCGGGAGAAGGUGUGCCCUCAGUAGGUGAACCUGUACAAGGGGAGCCCAAAGGGGUUGCAAAGAAUCGGUGGCUGCGACUGUUUAAUAAAAACACAGCACUCUGCAAACACGAAAGUGGACGUAUAGGGUGUGACGCCUGCCCGGUGCUGGAAGAUUAAAUGAUGGGGUGCAAGCUCUUGAUUGAAGUCCCAGUAAACGGCGGCCGUAACUAUAACGGUCCUAA